rnacentral:lncRNA from 1 species
AUCCUCUCCUGCCCAUAGGCGGCUCCCAGGCGCUCUGCCAAGUGGACGCCGAGGCGCACCUGGACUCAGCACCGCCCCAGUCGCUCAUUGGGCGCCAGGAAAUGAUGGACGUGGCUACCAAGGGCAACAGCGCGAUGAUUGGCUUGUUGGGAGUCUCAACAAACACUACUCUCUUUGCUGGAGAGGUGCGAGCUGAGGCUUCUGUGGAAGCGGAGAGCCGGAGCGCAGCAUGGGGAGAAGGAGGACCGGGAUCAGCGGGGAGGAUCCAGGUGAUUCACCUCAUCCAGACUCAGACUCCCCUUCCCCGCUGCUCCACCCCCACCUCUCUGCUCACUUCAUCAGUAGGAUCUGAAGCGUCUGACAGCCGCGCCUUCGUCAUGGCGACAUCCUUGACAAAAUGAGUCGACCAGCUGAGGCAGAUCCAGAGGAGCGAUGCGGUUCCUCCUGUGCAGCCUGCUGAUGAGGUGACGAGACCCCAUGGACAUGACGCUCUGCAGGGAUCACUCUGAAAUGGAAAAGGAAGAACUGAUUCAAAAAAGGUUCAAGCCCAUCUUUUGAAAAUGUUUCAGGUUCCUCCAUCAUUGAUUAAAACCUCUGCAUUGAACAUUCGAUUGUUUUCACGUUGGAAACAAGCCAUCAUGUCUUUCAACAGUUUUUUUAAAUGGAGCCAUCUGGUCCUUUUACACACAUGUCCUUUUAGCCCUUUGCCAACAGCAUGAAUUAGCAUGACUCAGGUGGGUGCGCUUCAGAUUGACAGUCUUUUCCAACAAAACGGUUUCCACCACCUUUUCUGUACCUCCUUCAAUGUGGUUCUUACUGUGCUGACCGUGUCUGGAAAUGCGUCCUAACCCUAACCCUAACCCAUCAGCGCCUGUCAGUCACUGAUUGGCUAGGGGGUGGGGUCACUGGUUGCUCCAGAGUUUUCUGCCUGCAGCCAUUUCCUGGUUCAGAGUCUGACAAAAAGCCAGAAACUCAUCAAAAUGUUUAAUCAAUCACUGCUGUUGUUGUGCCAUGUUGAGUCUCUGUGUAGCACACAGUUUACCGAGUAGCGGUCGCGAGUGCCGCGGGUCAUUUAUACGUUUUUACAAAAACAAUCAUAUGAACCCCUGUGAUCAUCGAGGGUUGUUUUAAAACUGCUGCUCUGUGCUUAGACACCUUCAGCCUAUCAAUCCUGUCAAAUGCAAAGGGUGACGAUGACUCAGGGGUAAGGAGUGUAUCCCGUAAUUGGUGGGUUGCUGGUUUGAACCCAGGCUCCCCAGUCAGUCAUGUUCUUGGACAAGACACUUCACCCUCCCUGCCUGCUGGAGGUGGUCGAAGGCACUGGUCGUGCCGUGUUUGGCAUCUGCGCCACUGUCAGUGCGCCCCAGGGCAGCUGUGGUCACAUUGUAGCUCAUCACCGCCAGUGUGAGAAUGUGUGUGUGAAUGUAUUAAUCAUUUGUUUUAUGAUUAUUUUAUCAAUCAACAUAUAUAUAUAUAUAUAUAUAUAUAUGUGUGUGUGUGUGUGUG